GUGCCAGCCGCCGCGGUAAUACGUAGGUGGCAAGCGUUGUCCGGAUUUAUUGGGCGUAAAGGGAGCGCAGGCGGUGACUUAAGUCUGAUGUGAAAGCCCACGGCUCAACCGUGGAAGGUCAUUGGAAACUGGGUCACUUGAGUGCAGAAGAGGAAAGUGGAAUUCCAUGUGUAGCGGUGAAAUGCGUAGAUAUAUGGAGGAACACCAGUGGCGAAGGCGACUUUCUGGUCUGUAACUGACGCUGAGGCUCGAAAGCGUGGGGAGCAA
rnacentral:rRNA from 1 species